CCCUGCAUUCAAAAGUGAUGGCAGGCUGCCUGUGCCCUGAUCACAGAUACUGCAGGGAGAGGAGGUGGAAAGCCCUUUCCUAUGUUUGGAAGGUCUGCCCCUGUCCUUGCCAGACCCUGGUGCUUUCCUAUA